rnacentral:rRNA from 1 species
AACGGAGCGAAAGCGACGUUCAACCGCAAAAGAAGCAGAGGGGGCUUAGUGGUGGGGUGACUGCGUACCUUUUGUAUAAUGGGUCAGCGACUUAUAUUCUGUAGCAAGGUUAACCGAAUAGGGGAGCCGGAGGGAAACCGAGUCUUAAUUGGGCGUUAAGUUGCAGGGUAUAGACCCGAAACCCGGUGAUCUAGCCAUGGGCAGGUUGAAGGUUGGGUAACACUAACUGGAGGACCGAACCGACUAAUGUUGAAAAAUUAGCGGAUGACCUGUGGCUGGGGGUGAAAGGCCAAUCAAACCGGGAGAUAGCUGGUUCUCCCCGAAAGCUAUUUAGGUAGCGCCUCGUGAAUUCAUCUCCGGGGGUAGAGCACUGUUUCGGCUAGGGGGCCAUCCCGGCUUACCAACCCGAUGCAAACUGCGAAUACCGGAGAAUGUUAUCACGGGAGACACACGGCGGGUGCUAACGUCCGUCGUGAAGAGGGAAACAACCCAGACCGCCAGCUAAGGUCCCAAAGUCAUGGUUAAGUGGGAAACGAUGUGGGAAGGCCCAGACAGCCAGGAUGUUGGCUUAGAAGCAGCCAUCAUUUAAAGAAAGCGUAAUAGCUCACUGGUCGAGUCGGCCUGCGCGGAAGAUGUAACGGGGCUAAACCAUGCACCGAAGCUGCGGCAGCGAAC